GUUUGAAGCAGACAAAAGAGGCCCCACAACGGGGAAAGAUGAAAAGGAGAAGAUAAUGCUGACGCAUACCUAAAGAAUCCAUGUGCAGUGGGAACAUAAGAAAGAAAUUCUUCACAGACAUUUUAAUGUGCUUGAACAUUUAUGAUUUGGGAUGUUGGAGUUCUUGCAUUCUUUGCAUUACAAUUCUGAAUGAUGCCUUUUCAAUAUCCAGGAGGGAGCUAUUGGAAAAUUUCUAUUGAACACACGUUAUGGCCUGGUGGAGCAUGGAAAUUGAGUCUGUAUGCCAUUAUAUACUUCAGUGCUCCAUUUAUAUGGAACCUAGACAAACAUUUAUGAAGGACUUGUUUGCACAUCUGUUAAUGCUGCUUAUUUGGCUGGUUUUUUACUGUCUAGUUGGUAGAAAUAUUUAUUUUUAUUUUAUAUAUGUAUAUUCUGCUUUGUCACCUGACAAGAGGGAUAAAAGGCAGUUAACAGUAA